rnacentral:rRNA from 1 species
GACGAACGCUGGCGGCGUGCUUAACACAUGCAAGUCGAACGGAAAGGCCCUGCUUUUGUGGGGUGCUCGAGUGGCGAACGGGUGAGUAACAAGUGAGUAACCUGCCCUUGACUUUGGGAUAACUUCAGGAAACUGGGGCUAAUACCGGAUAGGAGCUCCUGCUGCAUGGUGGGGGUUGGAAAGUUUCGGCGGUUGGGGAUGGACUCGCGGCUUAUCAGCUUGUUGGUGGGGUAGUGGCUUACCAAGGCUUUGACGGGUAGCCGGCCUGAGAGGGUGACCGGCCACAUUGGGACUGGAAUACGGCCCGGACUCCUACGGGAGGCAGCAGUUGGGAAUAUUGAAUAAUGGGCGGAAGCCUGAUGCAGCAACGCCGCGUGCGGGAUCACGGCCUUCGGGUUGGAAACCGCUUUAGCCUGUGACGAAGCGUGAGUGACGGUAAUGGGUAAAGAAGCACCGGCUAACUACGUG